rnacentral:rRNA from 1 species
CACGCAGGCGGUCUGUCAAGUCGGAUGUGAAAUCCCCGGGCUCAACCUGGGAACUGCAUUCGAAACUGGCAGGCUAGAGUCUUGUAGAGGGGGGUAGAAUUCCAGGUGUAGCGGUGAAAUGCGUAGAGAUCUGGAGGAAUACCGGUGGCGAAGGCGGCCCCCUGGACAAAGACUGACGCUCAGGUGCGAAAGCCAGGGUAGCGAACG